rnacentral:lncRNA from 1 species
CUCCUCUCUCUCUCUCUCUCCCUUCUAUAAAAGUCUGCAUAUAGCCGACCCUAUUCCCUUAAAAUCCAACAGAAAAUAAAUGCACGUACGUACCACGAAAUAAUAAUAAUAAAACUAUAGUAAUAUAAAAGAGAAAGAGAAAAACAGAAACAAAACCUUGUGAUUUACGUUAUCCUUAUAACUUUAGCCUGCUGCUUGAAUAUAUGUCCUUGACUUUUUGUUUCCUCAGUAGCCCCUCUUAACUCUUUAACUGAAUAUUUAGCCUUCUCCUGCAAAAAUAAAAUAAAAAUUAACCUGAUUUUAUUUCUUAUACGGACUAGAGAAUUGGUUCAAAAUAUAUAAAAUAACUUAACUUCUAUACACUGAUUUUAUGAAAAAAAUUAAUCACCUAAAUGUUAAAUGACAUAUAGUCGUCCAUAAUAAAUGAUAGUGUGAAAAAUCUUCACUAUCUGUGCAUAUAGGUUGAACAAAUCAUCAGAUUAUAGUAGAGAAGAUCAUAUGCAGAUUUGACCUGAAGUGAAAUUUAUGAAAUGGGUAAGAAACAAAUCUUUGACUUUGAAGCAAAAGGAGCAGUUGGAGCAGUAAAAUCAAGCAAAAGAAGUAGAUAAGACAGGUAAAAAAUAAAUAAUGUUAAUUUGAUCUUUGAAUAGUUGAGAAGUGAAUAGUUACCCAAAAAACUUCAAGAUUUGGUUUCUAACAAACAUAAGAAGAGAGCUGGAAAUUUUCACUUAAAAUGAGUAGAAGAAAGUGUAGAAGAAGCUUGAAUAGAAGUGAAACCAAAUAAUCCAAGAUUUGAUUUUUUAGAAAAAGAGCAAGGCCAGGAAAAAGCAAACAAAAGCAGUUCAAAAUUAUCUUUUUAAGAAAACAGAGAAGAGCAAAACGAAACCUUUUUAUAGAAACCACUUUGCUGGAAAAUGCGAGUCUUGAAAAUGUGUUUGGUCGACGAGAAAAGCAAAAGGAAUGAAGGAGAGAGGAGUUUAUAGAAACGAGUUUUGGGAAUAAAUAGAGUUUUGGGAAGUCAAAUAAUACUCUUUCUCAUUUCUUAUACACUCAAACAUCUCUAUAAUAU